rnacentral:rRNA from 1 species
CCUACGGGAGGCAGCAGUGAGGAAUAUUGGUCAAUGGCCGGAAGUCUGAACCAGCCAAGUCGCGUGAGGGACGACUGCCCUAUGGGUUGUAAACCUCUUUUAUAAGGGAAGAAUAAAUGCUACGUGUAGCAUGUUGCCUGUACCUUAUGAAUAAGCAUCGGCUAACUCCGUGCCAGCAGCCGCGGUAAUACGGAGGAUGCGAGCGUUAUCCGGAUUUAUUGGGUUUAAAGGGUGCGUAGGCGGUUUGUUAAGUUAGUGGUUAAACGUCGGGGCUUCACCUUGAAUUGCCAUUAAUACUGUAAGACUUGAGUGCAGACGAGGUAGGCGGAAUAAGUUAUGUAGCGGUGAAAUGCUUAGAUAUAACUAAGAACUCCGAUAGCGAAGGCAGCUUACCGGACUGUGACUGACGCUGAAGCACGAGAGCGUGGGUAGCGAACAGGAUUAGAUACCCCAGUAGUC